GGCAGUAUCACGCAUAAGCGUAUUACAAAUUCGCCCAGUACCCCUCCUCGGUGAGCCAGGCCGGUAUUCGCCUUGCUCUCAUUCAUUCAUCUACAUUCAUACCAAAACUAAAUACGGCGCUCUCGACAGGGGCCCACGAGCCCCCGGAGACGCAAUUACUCCCUAUCUAUAUACAUACAUAUUGGCCCGAUCUCCACCCCAUGGUGCUCUGAUCAGGCCCAUUCAUGCCCGUAUACACACACUGUAUGUAUACACACACUCAUACCUAGAGGGAAGCGACGUGUGAGUCAGGCACUGCCUGAGCCGCUCAGAGCCUUGCCCGAGGUGGCCGCACUGGAGCUCCUAUCGGCCUAUGCGGCCUAUCGUUCACACUCCUGUCCACAUACACAUCUGCACGCUCACUUACACAUCCUUCUUCUCGCGUCCGUUCCCUGCACUUCUCAACGUCCACCUUUGCACGCAUGACCCGCCCUGCGAAGGUCUGGAAGGCCGUCCAUUCCGUCAGGACAGUCAGGGAGACCCUGGCUAUCAUGGGAAGUGUUAGCUGCCUUCCCCUCAUCGCACCGAUCAGCUCAUUCCUGGCAUCUGUCCACGCCGGGCAGUCGACCAGGGUGUGCUCCGCCAUAUCCUCACUCCCCCCGCAGUGGAAACAACGUGGAGAGGGAAUCUUUCUUAUCUUAUUUAAAUACGCCGAGAAACAGCCAUGGCCGGUUAUCAGCUGUGUGGUGUGAAAUGUCGUUCCGAUAGAGAACGGUCUCCCAAUCUACUCAGCUAACCAUUCGGCAAUAGCUGCCCUCGCACGCACUCCCGUUGCUGCUGGUGCUCCUACGAGCCCAAGUUCCUCAGCCUUCCACGCUUCUAUUGCCCUCCUUCUGGCAAGAAAACCCAAUACAGCCUUAGUACACGGGGAACAAGUUCCUCCGCAUCCCUAACAGCCGCAUACGUAUUCGCCAGCUGGGAUGCCAGAUGAACGAGAGGAAUAAUCCCCGCGAUCAUCAUAGCCACGUGGAAGGAGACCGUUCUAUAAGCACAACACAUCCGGAUCGCCACCUUCCUCUGGAGGCUCCGAACAGCCCUCCCAAUCCUCAUGUCCUCCAUGACAGCGCGCCACCACACCGGCGCCCCAUAAAGGAGCACUGAGUGGAUCACGCCGCUGUAGAGGCGUCGCUUCUUCUACCCCGGUCCGUGAAGAUUCCAUAUCUUUGUCAC